rnacentral:rRNA from 1 species
AUGCCGAUAGAGUUCCGCCCAUCAGUCGAGUUGGUUCGCAAGUCUCUUGCGGCCUCUCGACGUUCGGAAGGAACGCUUUUAUUAGAUCAAAACCGGCCAGACGGCGUACCGUUUCGACGGUGCGUCGUAAACGGCCCGCGCAAAGACUUGGUGACUCUGAAUAACUUUGAGCUGAUCGCACGGUCCUAGCACCGGCGACGCAUCUUUCAAAUGUCUGCCUUAUCAACUGUCGACGGUAGGUUCGACGCCUACCGUGGUGGUAACGGGUAACGGGGAAUCAGGGUUCGAUUCCGGAGAGGGAGCCUGAGAAACGGCUACCACAUCCAAGGAAGGCAGCAGGCGCGCAAAUUACCCACUCCCGGCACGGGGAGGUAGUGACGAAAAAUAACGAUACGGGACUCAAAUGAGGCCCCGUAAUCGGAAUGAGUACACUGUAAAACAUUGGUCGCACGAGGAUCAAUUGGAGGGCAAG